GCCGCCGUGGCUCAGUAGGUAGAGCGACAGUGAACGCAACUCGCGUUUUGCCGCUAAAGCCUGUUAAGUUGUUGGUCGUAGGUUCGAGCCCUACCGGCGGCGCCA
rnacentral:tRNA from 1 species